UGAGGAAUAUUGGUCAAUGGGCGACAGCCUGAACCAGCCAUCCCGCGUGAAGGAAGAAGGCGCUAUGCGUUGUAAACUUCUUUUCCAGAGGAAUAAAAUUUCGUACGUGUACGGAACUGAAGGUACCCUGGGAAUAAGCAUCGGCUAACUCCGUGCCAGCAGCCGCGGUAAUACGGAGGAUGCGAGCGUUAUCCGGAUUCAUUGGGUUUAAAGGGUGCGUAGGCGGACUUAUAAGUCAGUGGUGAAAACCUGCAGCUUAACUGUAGACGUGCCAUUGAUACUGUUAGUCUUGAGUAUGGUCAAGGUAGGCGGAAUGUGUAAUGUAGCGGUGAAAUGCUUAGAUAUUACACAGAACACCGAUUGCGAAGGCAGCUUACUGGGCCAUUACUGACGCUGAUGCACGAAAGCGUGGGGAGCGAACAGG
rnacentral:rRNA from 1 species